AAUUUCAUAUUUCCAUAAGUCUGUCCGUUGCAAGAUGUAGUGUUGGUUUAAGGUCAGUUUUUUAAGGAAAACACAGCAUAACUCUACCCAUCCCAAUUUCCACAGUAAAACUUCUUUAAAAAGUGCAUCUUGGGAGUUCCCGUCGUGGUGCAGUGGUUAACAAAUCCUACUAGGAACCAUGAGGUUGCCGGUUCGAUCCCUGGCCUCGCUCAGUGGGUUAAGGAUCUAGCGUUGCCGUGAGCUGUGGUGUAGGUUGCAGGCGCGGCUCGGAUCCCGCGUUGCUGUGGCUCUGGUGUAGGCCAGCCAGUGGCUAGAGAACCGAUGAGCCCCCUAGCCUGGGAACGUCCAUAUGCCGCGGGAGCGGCCCAAGAAAUAGCAAAAAGACAAAAAAAAAAAAAAGUGCAUCUUGUAUUUGAGGCAAUACUAUAAUAUUACACUCAAAUGCAAUUUAAAAACUCAUGGCUAGAAAUGUAUAUAGAUUAAAAUGUAAGUGAUUUAGCUUACUUAAAAACAUCUCAUCAGCUUAGGGUCUUAGUCAAAUCAAAGAAUCUGGGUUGACUUUGUAAUGGCUUAAUGAUCUAAAGAUGUAUUUUUAAAGUGUUUCAUGUUUUUAUGGCCCAAUGGGACUAUUCAUAGUUCUGUGUUUUCCUGAAGAAUGGAGUUAGGCUUCCCCUUGUAAUUCUUUUAAGAUCUAAGCAAUAACUGAGGUUGUGAAUAUUUCAGUAACUACAACAAAGCUUUGCAGCAAAGAUGACAUCAUAAACUAUGGCUAUAGUUCAUAUUCUUUGGAAGGAAGGAUAAGUCUUUGAACUUGGAUGAGAGAUCUUUAAAAGAAGAGAAAUCUUUUAGCUUCCAUAGACAAUAUUUUACGAGAGUCCAAAGGCAGAUGAGAAAUGGCUCCUUAGGUACUAGGUGGCACUUUCUCCCUCCUAACUUCACAGGGAUGGGGUUGAUCAGAGAAUCAGGUCCUCUGUUAUAACUGAUAGAAUCAAUCCCCACUCUAAGUCAUAGGUCUAAACAUGAAUAUAAAAUGUAAUAUUAACUGUUGAGUUCUCUGUGCUAAGCUCCAUGCUAAGUGUUUGGAAUCUGUUAGCUAAUUUAAGCCUGGCUAACUGUCCUAUAGAUUAUCACCUUUACAUAUUAGGAAUGGGAGAAUAAAAGGUUGAUUUUCCGAGGUCACACCUGGUAGGUUGAGUUAUGACUCAGCCCAGGCCUGUCUGAUUCUUAAGCCUGUACCUUUGACCUCUAGGCUGUGGCUUUUGGCCCUUCUUCUGGACUCACUCAUUCAGACUUUCAGCAUUUCAUCCUGCCUGAAAUCACUUUGAGCUGAAGACAACAGUAAAUGUCUAUAGUAUUAGCAUAAAAAUCUCCACCAUCUCACCCUUUUAAUAUACGAAAGAUUUUUAAGAAAAGAAAAAGAACUCUGCCUUAUUCUAUAGUACAACAUAAAGGGAAAUUAUUUUGACAGUUCACUAGUUUUAACUUUCACCUGUCAAGCAGUUGAGAGUUAAGGUUUUAAACUGCCUGUCUUUAUCAGUAAAGUUACCCUCUAUAAACACUACCAAAGAGGAUUCUAUAUGAUCUCGGUCAAGGUGGUUGACAACAGUGAGGCAAAAUAGUGACUAGAUAACUGAGUAAAUUGGGUUUGAGGGAAAAAAAAAAUUCUCAGUCUUCCAUUAGAUGUAAAAGAUAGAUUUUUGUGAGGGAAAAUGCUGGAUUAUUCUGAAUGUUUAUACAUUCCAGGUCCCUCAUGUCAUAAAACAACAUUCUUCAUUUGGCCCGCUCAGUAAUCCAUUCACUUUAAUGAGUUUUGUUAUCAGGAAGGGCUUUUUAACUAACCUAAACUCCGGCCUGCAGUUAAGCAUGCUUUCUAUAGCAGUUAACAGUUUAUAUGUAUAUAACUUUUCAAAAAUCUCAUAUCCAGAGACAUUUUUAUAUGCCUCUAAAUUCUCAGUCUUCCGAGAACUGUAUAUUCCAUUUCCUUGACCUCUGUUGCCAUUCUAUUAGUCUGUGGGAAUGAAGAGGUUUAUGCAUAUGAAAUGGAAUAUGCAUGUAAUAGGAUGCCUUAUAAGCUUAUUUUCUAAGGAGUAGAAAGAGGCAAGUUAACUCUAAAGUUUCUUGCGUUAAGUGUGCAUUGUGAUAGUUUUAUAUUUUCAUUGCAAUGAAAACAAAGUCAGCUUUUCUCAUGCGGAAGAAAAACAGUUUUGCAAAGAAUGGCUAUUAUUCGUAAUGUUUCACUUGUGUAAGUGGGGUGAUAAAUUUUAUAUUGCUCAUAAAGUCCUAAAACAACUGAGAAUCUUGAGUUAACCCCUCCUUUCCUGAUCAUAAAUUACCAAGUUGAAUAUUAUUUACGGUACUAUAAAAGUAUAAAGCUCUGCUUCCUAGAUCACUCAUUGCUGCUUCUCUUCUUUUCUUUUCUUUUUUUUUUUUUUUUUUUUAACCUUUGUCAUUAAUUGCAGAGACCCUAAAGACUUUCUUUUUUCUUCACCAAAAACAACAGGCACCAGAGCUUUGUGUAACUCUGUUUGUGUAGCCUUUCUCCUGGGCCAGCCAUAGCUGGCCUCUUCCCACAUCCUAGCCAGUCUGUCUCAGCACAGCGGCUUUAAAUAGGCUUCUCUUGGGGUCUGGCAAGAUGAUGGAGGCGUGUUCGCUGUCAGGAGGGCAAAACAUAGAGGCACACAGACCACAUUUUAUUGUCAUCAUAACACAUUUCUCUGUCACAGUCGCCAGCCACCUCCUAAACAGGAACUAUGCCAGUCACUUUUUUGUCUCACAAGCAGCCACUGUUAAAUUUAUUUUGUUAUUUUGACAUAUUUCUGACGGCAGAAAGAUAAGCAUAGCAUAGUGCAAAUGGUCAAGUGUGGUGACAUCAAAACCCACAUACAGCCUGGUGACCCUCAGACAAGGGUAUAGUCAAGCUCAGUGGGCAAGUGUUGCCUAUGGUGACAAACAUCCUUUUUACUGCUAGUACAAGGAGGCUGGAGGGGUUGUUGUGUCCCCUUUCAAGGUUCAGAAAGCCCCCCAAAAGAUAUCCAUGAGUCCACGACUGCUGAACCAUUAGGCAGGCUCAAGGCAUAUGUGUUACACCAAGAGAACAGGCUUAAACAUCAAGUACCAUCUGACCAUGACUAUCAUGGGAAGAGGUCUUAGCAAUAAACCUAUGAAUUAUCUGGCCCACACUUAACCAGUUCUCACAGCACAGCUACCCCUUUGAUGUAACUGUCAAACCCCAAGCAUGCCCAACAGUAGGAGCCACAGACAAAACAACACAGGAGCAGUGAAUGACUCAAUGUAAAUGCAUUUAGCCACUUCUCCAGACACCAAAGUCCAGCAGGCAGUGUACUUGCUUUGGGUAUUAGGAGCCUGAGACAGAAGGAGAAACAAAGUUCACCAUUGUUUUUUUUCAGGACAGGAGGAGUGAGAGAAGUGUAAAAGUUAUUUAAUUGCUCCUUUUAAAUGUGUGGCUUAGGAGUCAAAGUCUGUAGGUAUAUCCACGGCUGACACAGGAGAGACAUAUGAACAAGGAGGUGGUUUGCUGAACAAUUGUGCCACUUUAUAGUCCUAUCCAGGACACUGCAUAUUUAACUAGUUAAAUCAGGUCUAUUAAGCAGUUUUGUUUAAGAUGUGGGAGCCUAUUAAAAAUUUUGGUCCUUAUUCAGAUCAUUUAUAAAUAAUUUGAAAUCUCUAUUUAUAAUUCUAGUGAAUUUCUCUCUAGUCUAUCAAUAUUGAUAAGUCAUUUUAAAAUCCUAACUCUUCAGUGAGUAAAAUACAUAGUAUAAUGACUAAAAGGACAAGUUCUGAAAUCAGACGGACCUGGAUACAUCUUGAGCUAUAGUAACUGGGUGAUGUUGGACAAAUAACUGUAUCUGCAAAAGCUUUGUUUUUCUCAUCAGUAAAGUAGGAUUUAAAAAGCAACACCUGGAGUUCCCAUUGUGGCUCAGUGGAAACAAAUCUGACUAGUAUCCAUGAGGAAGCAGGUUGGAUUCCUGGCCUCAGUGGGUUAAGGAUCUGGCAUUGCCAUGAGCUGUGGUGUAGGUCACAGAUGUGGCUCAGAUCCCACAUUGCUGUGGCUGUGGCUGUGGCUGUGGCUAUGGCCGGCAGCUCCAGCUCCGAUUCUACCCCUAGCCUGGGAACCUCCAUGUGCCAUGGGUGC
rnacentral:lncRNA from 1 species